UAUUCUCUUCUGGGUCUGCAAAAUGCUUUCAAUAUACCAAUACAAAUAUAAUACAGUAGUCUAGAAUUGCCUCAAAAGAAAUUAUCUGAUCUCUAUUAAAAAUACCAUUUCAUCAUUUUCCUAUAAUCAAUGAGGCAUACUAGAUGAAUCUUAAUCUUGGAAAAAACCUAUCCUAUACAUCCAUAAUUUUUCUUGUUAUAUAACCAUAUAACAACACAUUUUUCUUUUCUUAAAUAAUGCAAUGCACUUUAAAAGUAGCGUUAACUCUAAAUACUCCCCUAAUAAUACUGAAACGUGGAUCCACGAUUUUGAAAAGCAAAUUAUAUAAUUUUUCUUUUUCUUUCCCAGGGGCCCCUUUCUUGUUGGCUGAUCAGCGUUUUUUUAAUCUGUUGUAAAAAGACACUAAAGGCUUGCGUUAAUGACAUGCAAAUAUUCUUUAAAUAUUCUUCAUA